rnacentral:lncRNA from 1 species
UGUUGACUCCGAGGACUUUGAAUUUGUUUGAUAUUUUGAAUGCGGAUAAAUUGAUUCUGACGCCAGAGAUUGUGGAUUAUCUGAAUGCGAGAUAUGGGUUGAAUUAUGAGGGCGACGAUGAGGACGAAGAAGGUGCAGAGGAACAAGAUGAAGAAGAAGGAGAAGGAGGAAGUGAAGUUCAAGGUUAAGUCUUUUUAUGUCAUUUGCUUUAUCUUUGAAACUCGUUUGAUACUCUUUAAUUUGGGUUGUUUACUUUCGAUGCAGUUGUAGUUCCAGUUUUUGAAUUUGUGAAUGCAUUUUGGGUUUGAUUUAAAAUUUGGAUUGAGCAUAAGAGCUCUUGUAUGCAUUUUCAUACAAUUCAUGUCUAUGCUACUUUUAUGUAAUUGGGGUCAUAAGAGUAGAUUUUUUUUUUUUUUUUUUAGGGCAAUGUGCAUCACUUGGCAUGGUACAUAUGUUAGGGAUCCUUUAGCUCAGUUGUUUAUUUAUUAAGCUCAUAUUUGUUGAUUCUUCUGAGUUGGAACCUCUAGUUAAGAUUCAUAAUGGACCUCUAGUUGAUUCUUGCAAGUGACUUGUAGCUCAAGUGGUUAAAAGCAGUUGUAAUACUCGAAGUCCUGAGUUCGAAUCCACUCCCCAUUUUCGCUUAUGUAAAAAGGGCUAGUUUGUAUUGAACUUUGGCUAUCAUAAAAAUGGAAGAUUUAAUCAAACAUUUCUCACAUUUUUUAUAUUCAAGCAGCCAUACAUGUUAUGUUUUGUGUUACAUGAAAGUUGCUGGCUUUUGCAACUUUAUGGAGCAAAGUUGUGUAUAGGAUGGUCUUUCAUUUUGUUGAUCUGUUUUCUUUAAUUUGGGAUGCAGGAGCUGUGUCAGAGGAGAGUUCUGAUGCAGCAGAGUGAUGACACAGAAUGAAGAGUUUUUGUAACCACUUUUUGGCCCCAGAAGAUAACCUAGGAUUCAUUUCGACUUAUCCCUAGUCAAGGGUUUGUGCCUUUUUGGAAGUGUCAACCAUGCUUCGUUCAGAUUGCAGGCUGGUUUCGAAGAUUCACUGUGCAUGAU